UACGAACCGUGCAAACGUUAUUCGGAUUUACUGGGUUUAAAGGGUGCGUAGGUGGGUAGGUAAGUCAGUGGUGAAAUCUUCGAGCUUAACUCGGAAACUGCCAUUGAUACUAUUUAUCUUGAAUACUUUGGAGGUAAGCGGAAUAUGUCAUGUAGCGGUGAAAUGCUUAGAUAUGACAUAGAACACCAAUUGCGAAGGCAGCUUACUACACAGUUAUUGACACUGAGGCACGAAAGCGUGGGGAUCAAACAGG
rnacentral:rRNA from 1 species